GACGAACGCUGGCGGCGUGCUUAACACAUGCAAGCCGAGCGAGAAAGCGGCUUCGGCCGUGAGUACAGCGGCGAACGGGUGAGUAACACGUGGGCAACCUGCCCCAGAGAUUGAGAUAACGUCCCGAAAGGGACGCUAAUACCGAAUAACGCGUGACCUGCCAAGUGGGUCACGCCAAAUGGUAGCCUCGGCCUCUGCUCUGGGAUGGGCCCGCGCCGGAUUAGCUUGUUGGUGGGGUAACGGCCUACCAAGGCGACGAUCCGUAGCUGGUCUGAGAGGACGAUCAGCCACACUGGGACUGAGACACGGCCCAGACUCCUACGGGAGGCAGCAGUGGGGAAUCUUGCGCAAUGGGCGAAAGCCUGACGCAGCAACGCCGCGUGAGCGAAGACGGCCUUCGGGUUGUAAAGCUCUGUCAGGAGGGACGAAGCCACUCGGGUGAAUAGCCCAGAGGGUGACGGUACCUCCAGAGGAAGCCCCGGCUAACUACGUGCCAGCAGCCGCCGCAG
rnacentral:rRNA from 1 species